CCUAUGGUCAACUCCUCUUAAAUGGAUCAGCUUGCCAGUGUUUGGUAGCGUCGCAGGUGUGAUAACUAUCUACGCUUGUGGUUGCUGCCAGGUAACCUUCAGUGAUGGAGGUUCUCUGGAGCUCAUAAACGUCUCUCCUCAGUGAAGACAGCUUUUGAACGUUCGAUCUCAAAUCAGGUAGGACUACCCGCUGAACUUAA
rnacentral:misc_RNA from 1 species